UACAGAGGGUGCGAGCGUUGUUCGGAAUUAUUGGGCGUAAAGGGCGCGUAGGCGGUGCGGCAAGUCACCUGUGAAACCUCUGGGCUUAACCCAGAGCCUGCAGGCGAAACUGCCGUGCUGGAGUGUGGGAGAGGUGCGUGGAAUUCCCGGGUGUAGCGGUGAAAUGCGUAGAUAUCGGGAGGAACACCUGUGGCGAAAGCGGCGCACUGGACCACAACUGACGCUGAGGCGCGAAAGCUAGGGGAGCAAACAGG
rnacentral:rRNA from 1 species